AAAAGGAAACUUCCCCUGCUUUUGGCCAGGGGUUAUGGGUGAUGUGGCCUCAGCAGGAUGCUGGUGAUGGUGGUGUCAAAUGAAGAAACCAAGCGAAUAGGAUGAAGAGCCAGCUGAGAGUCUGUCCAGGGGAGAACCAAACCCAGAGAAGCUUCUUUUCUUCUUUGUUUCAAUCACGUCAUUCUCCAGAGACACAAGUUCAUCAAGAAGUAAGAGUUUUGCUGCCAGGUCAGUGGCCGACUUCUCUUCUCUGACUGUGGGUGAUGACUGAACACCUAAGACUCCAGAAUCAAAGGCCUAUUGGGCAAGAAAGAUAGUGAAACAGUAUGCACAAUACCGGACACCGGCAUCUCGUCCGAGGCUGUGGGAAUCAUGAACUCCUUCAUCAACGACAUUUUCCAGCACACCCAGCGCACCCAGCCGCACCGCUGGCGAGGCAUCGCACCUGGCGCAUUACAACAAGUGCUCGACUAUCCAGACCGCCCUGCGCUUGCUGCUACCUGGGGAGCUGGCCAAGCACACCGUGUCCGAGGGCCCUAAGGCUGUCACCAAGUAUACCAGCUCCAAGUAAAUAUAAUAUGCCUAGCCACUGUUAAUGGAGAAGGCAAUAGC